rnacentral:rRNA from 1 species
UACGUAGGUCGCAAGCGUUGUCCGGAUUUACUGGGCGUAAAGAGCGCGCAGGCGGCUGGUCAAGUCCGAUGUGAAAUCUCCCGGCUCAACUGGGAAACUGCAUCGGAAACUGAUCGGCUUGAAGGUGGGAGAGGGUAGUGGAAUUCCCGGUGUAGUGGUGAAAUGCGUAGAUAUCUGGAGGAACACCGGUGGCGAAGGCGGCAUCCUGGACCGACAUUGACGCUGAGGCGCGAAAGCCAGGGGAGCAAACGGG